CAGCCGCCGCGGUAAUACGAAGGGGGCUAGCGUUGUUCGGAUUUACUGGGCGUAAAGCGCACGUAGGCGGAUUCUUAAGUCAGAGGUGAAAUCCCAAGGCUCAACCUUGGAACUGCCUUUGAUACUGGGGAUCUCGAGUCCGGGAGAGGUGAGUGGAACUGCGAGUGUAGAGGUGAAAUUCGUAGAUAUUCGCAAGAACACCAGUGGCGAAGGCGGCUCACUGGCCCGGUACUGACGCUGAGGUGCGAAAGCGUGGGGAGCAAACAGGAUUAGAUACCCCCGUAGUCCCUGUCUCUUAUAC
rnacentral:rRNA from 1 species